rnacentral:rRNA from 1 species
AUUGAACGCUGGCGGAAUGCUUUACACAUGCAAGUCGAGCGGCAGCGCGGGGGCAACCCUGGCGGCGAGCGGCGAACGGGUGAGUAACAUAUCGGAACGUACCCAGUCGUGGGGGAUAACUAUCCGAAAGGAUAGCUAAUACCGCAUACGUCCUGAGGGAGAAAGCGGGGGAUCGCAAGACCUCGCGCGAUUGGAGCGGCCGAUAUCGGAUUAGCUAGUUGGUGGGGUAAAGGCUCACCAAGGCGACGAUCCGUAGCGGGUCUGAGAGGACGACCCGCCACACUGGAACUGAGACACGGUCCAGACUCCUACGGGAGGCAGCAGUGGGGAAUUUUGGACAAUGGGGGCAACCCUGAUCCAGCCAUUCCGCGUGAGUGAAGAAGGCCUCGGUUGUAACGUACCU